AACCAUAAAUUUUAAUGGUCAGCAAGAAAUCUUCUGACCCAUUCCAACCGUACAUCAGAAGGUAAACUAAAGAAAACUACCAUUUGGGUUGGAUGAUCUGGAAUUUUACUCAAUGCUUGAAACCGUUCAUCCACAGUUAAACCUUCUAUUUCACAUAAGGUUGGAUAUAAAUUUGCCGCUUUUUCUUGGAUGCCCUGGUGAACUACCACAUCGGAGGCAAUACUCCUACUGAUUUGUUCGCCAAUUGCCCGCAUGUUUUCAGCCAAUAAAGUGGCAGCAUCAUUAACUGAAGAAGAAAAAUGACCAGUUGCAUCAGAAUUCUUUUUUUUUUCCUCUUUGAAGAUGAGGAACCCCCUUGGUUUUUGUCUGUUUGCGGCUCCGUGGCAGAAACAUCCAUGUCAUCGAAAGAGACAUUAGCAUCGCAAUCAUAGUAUUCGUUUCUGUCUUCAUUAAUAUCUGC
rnacentral:lncRNA from 1 species